rnacentral:misc_RNA from 1 species
GUAGGUGAACCUGCGGAAGGAUCAUUACAGAGUUCAUGCCCUUCGGGGUAGAUCUCCCACCCUUGCGUAUCAUUAUAGAAUGUUGCUUUGGCGGGCACGCUAGACGCGAAUCCAGGCACACUAGGCGCGGCCCGCCAAAGGACCCCUAAACUCUGAAUGUUAGUGUCGUCUGAGUACUAUUAAAUAGUUAAAACUUUCAACAACGGAUCUCUUGGUUCUG